AAAUUGAAGAGUUUGAUCAUGGCUCAGAUUGAACGCUGGCGGCAGGCCUAACACAUGCAAGUCGAGCGGUAGCACAGAGAGCUUGCUCUCGGGUGACGAGCGGCGGACGGGUGAGUAAUGUCUGGGAAACUGCCUGAUGGAGGGGGAUAACUACUGGAAACGGUAGCUAAUACCGCAUAACGUCGCAAGACCAAAGUGGGGGACCUUCGGGCCUCAUGCCAUCAGAUGUGCCCAGAUGGGAUUAGCUGGUAGGUGGGGUAACGGCUCACCUAGGCGACGAUCCCUAGCUGGUCUGAGAGGAUGACCAGCCACACUGGAACUGAGACACGGUCCAGACUCCUACGGGAGGCAGCAGUGGGGAAUAUUGCACAAUGGGCGCAAGCCUGAUGCAGCCAUGCCGCGUGUGUGAAGAAGGCCUUCGGGUUGUAAAGCACUUUCAGCGGGGAGGAAGGCGGUGAGGUUAAUAACCUCACCGAUUGACGUUACCCGCAGAAGAAGCACCGGCUAACUCCGUGCCAGCAGCCGCGGUAAUACGGAGGGUGCAAGCGUUAAUCGGAAUUACUGGGCGUAAAGCGCACGCAGGCGGUCUGUCAAGUCGGAUGUGAAAUCCCCGGGCUCAACCUGGGAACUGCAUUCGAAACUGGCAGGCUAGAGUCUUGUAGAGGGGGGUAGAAUUCCAGGUGUAGCGGUGAAAUGCGUAGAGAUCUGGAGGAAUACCGGUGGCGAAGGCGGCCCCCUGGACAAAGACUGACGCUCAGGUGCGAAAGCGUGGGGAGCAAACAGGAUUAGAUACCCUGGUAGUCCACGCUGUAAACGAUGUCGAUUUGGAGGUUGUGCCCUUGAGGCGUGGCUUCCGGAGCUAACGCGUUAAAUCGACCGCCUGGGGAGUACGGCCGCAAGGUUAAAACUCAAAUGAAUUGACGGGGGCCCGCACAAGCGGUGGAGCAUGUGGUUUAAUUCGAUGCAACGCGAAGAACCUUACCUGGUCUUGACAUCCACAGAACUUUCCAGAGAUGGAUUGGUGCCUUCGGGAACUGUGAGACAGGUGCUGCAUGGCUGUCGUCAGCUCGUGUUGUGAAAUGUUGGGUUAAGUCCCGCAACGAGCGCAACCCUUAUCCUUUGUUGCCAGCGGUUAGGCCGGGAACUCAAAGGAGACUGCCAGUGAUAAACUGGAGGAAGGUGGGGAUGACGUCAAGUCAUCAUGGCCCUUACGACCAGGGCUACACACGUGCUACAAUGGCAUAUACAAAGAGAAGCGACCUCGCGAGAGCAAGCGGACCUCAUAAAGUAUGUCGUAGUCCGGAUUGGAGUCUGCAACUCGACUCCAUGAAGUCGGAAUCGCUAGUAAUCGUAGAUCAGAAUGCUACGGUGAAUACGUUCCCGGGCCUUGUACACACCGCCCGUCACACCAUGGGAGUGGGUUGCAAAAGAAGUAGGUAGCUUAACCUUCGGGAGGGCGCUUACCACUUUGUGAUUCAUGACUGGGGUGAAGUCGUAACAAGGUAACCGUAGGGGAACCUGCGGUUGGAUCACCUCCUUACCUUAAAGAA
rnacentral:rRNA from 3 species